CAGGGAAUAUUAGAAAUGGACGAAAGUCUGAUCUAGCAACACCGCGUGUGCGAUGAAGGCCUUCGGGUUGUAAAGCACUUUUUGGAAGGAUUGGGAAGGAAUGUACUUCCAGAAUAAGUCUCGGCUAACUACGUGCCAGCAACCGCGGUAACACGUAGGAGGCGAACGUUAUCCGGAUUUACUGGGCGUAAAGCGCGUGUAGGUGGUUCUGUAAGUAGGGCGUGAAAGCUCCUGGCUCAACUGGGAGAGGCCGUUCUAAACUGCAGAGCUAGAGGAUGGUAGAGGGAGGUGGAAUUCCGGGUGUAGCGGUGGAAUGCGCAGAUAUCCGGAGGAACACCAGUGGCGAAGGCGGCCUCCUGGACCAUUCCUGACACUCAGACGCGAAAGCUAGGGUAGCAAACGG
rnacentral:rRNA from 1 species